rnacentral:rRNA from 1 species
GAUGAACGCUAGCGGCAGGCUUAAUACAUGCAAGUCGAGGGGCAGCGGGGGUAGCAAUACCUGCCGGCGACCGGCAAACGGGUGCGGAACACGUACAGAACCUUCCUUUAAGCGGGGGAUAGCCCGGAGAAAUCCGGAUUAAUACCCCAUAGUAAUGUUGGUUGGCAUCAAUUGACAUUUAAAGAUUGAUCACUUAAAGAUGGCUGUGCGGCUGAUUAGGUAGUUGGUUGAGGUAAAGGCNCACCAAGGCGACGAUCAGUAGCUGGUCUGAGAGGAUGAUCAGCCACACUGGAACUGAGACACGGUCCAGACUCCUACGGGAGGCAGCAGUGGGGAAUUUUGGACAAUGGGGGCAACCCUGAUCCAGCCAUGCCGCGUGAGUGAAGAAGGCCUGGUGUAAG